rnacentral:lncRNA from 1 species
GAAAAAUGUGGCUGGUUUCCUCUCUAAGACUGUAUGUCAAAAUCACCAAAUGUUUGACAUCCAAUAGCCGAUGAUAAAUCAAUGAGCUCUUGUGAUGUCUUUAAAUUAAACAAACUUUUUAACUGAAAAUGGGGUUGAUAUGAAAGAACAUUUUAACUCAAUAGUGAGUUGUAUUAUUUUUACAAAAUGUUAUUGGGCAGGGGAGGCGUAGUCGGGUUAAAAAAUGACCAGAUUUUCCAUUAUGCAAUUGGUUAAUGGCCCUAAGUAGGUACAUGUAGGUAGUUAGGUAGGUACAUGUAGGUAAUUAGGUAGGUACAUAUAGACAUGUUUGUAUACAUGUGUAGAACAACUAAUUUAUUAUAUAACAGACUUUUGUUUUUGAGAAGCGCGAUCUUAUCAGUAUAUUAAGUCCACUGGGAGUCUGGACGUAUGUUCCUUUGUAUGUUAAAACAACAAUAUACAUGUAAGGUUACGAAAUAAACACUGGACGUAUGUUCCUUUGUAUGUUAAAUCAACAAUAUACAUGUAAGGUAGCGAAAUAAACACUGGACGUAUGUUCCUUUGUAUGUUAAAACAACAAUAUACAUGUAAGGUAGCGAAAUAAACACUGGACGUAUGUUCCUUUGUAUGUUAAAACAACAAUAUACAUGUACGGUAGCGAAAUAAACACUGGGUGUAUGUUCCUUUGUAUGUUAAAACAACAAUAUACAUGUAAGGUAGCGAAAUAAACACUGGGUGUAUGUUCCUUUGUAUGUUAAAACAACAAUAUACAUGUAAGGUAGCGAAAUAAACACUGGGCGUAUGUUCCUUUGUAUGUUAAAACAACAAUAUACAUGUACGGUAGCGAAAUAAACACUGGGUGUAUGUUCCUUUGUAUGUUAAAACAACAAUACACAUGUAAGGUAGCGAAAUAAACACUGGGUGUAUGUUCCUUUGUAUGUUAAAACAACAAUAUACAUGUAAGGUAGCGAAAUAAACACUGGGUGUAUGUUCCUUUGUAUGUUAAAACAACAAUAUACAUGUAAGGUAGCGAAAUAAACACUGGGCGUAUGUUCCUUUGUAUGUUAAAACAACAAUAUACAUGUACGGUAGCGAAAUAAACACUGGACGUAUGUUCCUUUGUAUGUUAAAACAACAAUAUACAUGUAAGGUAGCGAAAUAAACACUGGGUGUAUGUUCCUUUGUAUGUUAAAACAACAAUAUACAUGUACGGUAGCGAAAUAAACACUGGGUGUAUGUUCCUUUGUAUGUUAAAACAACAAUAUACAUGUACGGUAGCGAAAUAAACACUGGGCGUAUGUUCCUUUGUAUGUUAAAACAACAAUAUACAUGUACGGUAGCGAAAUAAACACUGGACGUAUGUUCCUUUGUAUGUUAAAACAACAAUAUACAUGUACGGUAGCGAAAUAAACACUGGACGUAUGUUCCUUUGUAUGUUAAAACAACAAUAUACAUGUACGGUAGCGAAAUAAACACUGGGUGUAUGUUCCUUUGUAUGUUAAAACAACAAUAUACAUGUAAGGUAGCGAAAUAAACACUGGGUGUAUGUUCCUUUGUAUGUUAAAACAACAAUAUACAUGUAAGGUAGCGAAAUAAACACUGGGUGUAUGUUCCUUUGUAUGUUAAAACAACAAUAUACAUGUACGGUAGCGAAAUAAACACUGGGUGUAUGUUCCUUUGUAUGUUAAAACAACAAUAUACAUGUACGGUAGCGAAAUAAACACUGGGUGUAUGUUCCUUUGUAUGUUAAAACAACAAUAUACAUGUAAGGUAGCAAAAUAAACACUGGGUGUAUGUUCCUUUGUAUGUUAAAACAACAAUAUACAUGUACGGUAGCGAAAUAAACACUGGGUGUAUGUUCCUUUGUAUGUUAAAACAACAAUAUACAUGUACGGUAGCGAAAUAAACACUGGGUGUAUGUUCCUUUGUAUGUUAAAACAACAAUAUACAUGUACGGUAGCGAAAUAAACACUGGACGUAUGUUCCUUUGUAUGUUAAAACAACAAUAUACAUGUAAGGUAGCGAAAUAAACACUGGACGUAUGUUCCUUUGUAUGUUAAAACAACAAUAUACAUGUAAGGUAGCGAAAUAAACACUGGGUGUAUGUUCCUUUGUAUGUUAAAACAACAAUAUACAUGUACGGUAGCGAAAUAAACACUGGACGUAUGUUCCUUUGUAUGUUAAAUCAACAAUAUACAUGUAAGGUAGCGAAAUAAACACUGGACGUAUGUUCCUUUGUAUGUUAAAACAACAAUAUACAUGUACGGUAGCGAAAUAAACACUGGGUGUAUGUUCCUUUGUAUGUUAAAACAACAAUAUACAUGUAAGGUAGCGAAAUAAACACUGGACGUAUGUUCCUUUGUAUGUUAAAACAACAAUAUACAUGUAAGGUUACGAAAUAAACACUGGGUGUAUGUUCCUUUGUAUGUUAAAACAACAAUAUACAUGUAAGGUAGCGAAAUAAACACUGGACGUAUGUUCCUUUGUAUGUUAAAACAACAAUAUACAUGUAAGGUUACGAAAUAAACACUGGACGUAUGUUCCUUUGUAUGUUAAAUCAACAAUAUACAUGUAAGGUAGCGAAAUAAACACUGGACGUAUGUUCCUUUGUAUGUUAAAACAACAAUACACAUGUAAGGUAGCGAAAUAAACACUGGGUGUAUGUUCCUUUGUAUGUUAAAACAACAAUAUACAUGUAAGGUAGCGAAAUAAACACUGGGUGUAUGUUCCUUUGUAUGUUAAAACAACAAUAUACAUGUAAGGUAGCGAAAUAAACACUGGACGUAUGUUCCUUUGUAUGUUAAAACAACAAUAUACAUGUAAGGUAGCGAAAUAAACACUGGACGUAUGUUCCUUUGUAUGUUAAAUCAACAAUACACAUGUAUGGUAGCGAAAUAAACACUGGAUGUAUGUUCCUUUGUAUGUUAAAUCAACAAUACACAUGUAUGGUAGCGAAAUAAACACUGGAUGUAUG